rnacentral:lncRNA from 10 species
GCCAUUUCUCUGGGCCAGGAGCCAGCUGUUCCCAAAAUGGCCACGAUGCCUCAGGAGGGAGGUUGACACCCUGUGCUCUCAGAAGCAGCUCAGAGCUCAGAGGCAGACCUCUACUCAUGCAAUUCUGCCUUCUGUGCAUGCAAUGGAUUGCUGCCAUCUCCAAUCAGCCACAAUGGGAGGCCACCUGCUAGACAUGGAAGAGCCACCGGAUGGAAGAAGCCUGGGUCUCUGAAAUACUGCUUGGAGUAGACUACUCUGCCUGCAAACUAGGAGCACUGAUUUUGGACUUUUUGGGAGGUGAAAGAGAAAUUUUUAUUACGUGAAGCCAUUGAGUUUGGGGAGGAGACUGGUUAUCUGCUACAGCAUCUAGAAUGUUACCUUAACCAGCACAGUAAGGAGGCGGGGCACUGCAAAAGAACGUUGAAUGAGAUACUCUCUGUGCUGUGUGCGAAAGCUUGGGCAGGCUGUGCAGGAAGUUGGGCUGGGUUCAGAUCCUGCCUUGCCAUUUCCUGCCUGUGCUAUUCUUCCAAAGGCUCUGAGCCAGCAAUUUUAAAAGUCUUAAAAGUUGAGACACCCAUCAUUGCCUGAUCACUCUCUUCUGAAGAGGUUCUGGGAGAAUCAGACCUAGAAAGUAGGUCAAGGGUUCUUUGAUUUCAGCUCUGUUUUAAUAUUUUUACCUUGGCUACGAGUUUAGAGCAAA